rnacentral:rRNA from 1 species
AACCGACCUGGCUCACACCGGUUUAAACUCAGAUCAUGUAAAAUUUUAAAGGUCGAACAGACCUAAUAUAUUAGCUUCUACACCAACAAUAAAUUUUAAUCCAACAUCGAGGUCGCAAUCUUUCUUUUCGAUAAGAACUCUAAAGAAAAUUACGCUGUUAUCCCUAAGGUAAUUUAAUCUUAUAAUCUAAACCAAGGAUCAAAUAAAUACUCAUAAGUAAAUAAAUUAAAAAAAAGUUAAUCUAAUUUUUCCAUCACCCCAACAAAACAAGUCCCGCCUAAUUAAAAAUUUCAAUUCCUAAUAUCUGAACCAUGCAAUUCCUGUAAAACUCUAUAGGGUCUUCUCGUCUUCCAUUUAAAUUUAAGCUUUCUCACUUAAAAAUAAAAUUCUAAUAAAUUUUUAUAGAGACAGCAGCUUUCUCAUAAAACCUUUCAUUCCAGCUUUCAAUUAAAAAACUAAUGAUUAUGCUACCUUUGCACGGUCAAUAUACCGCGGCCAUUUAAUUUUCAGUGGGCAGGUGAGACUUGAAAUAAACAUCAACAAGCCAUGUUUUUAAUAA